rnacentral:rRNA from 1 species
UGGGGAAUUUUGGACAAUGGGCGAAAGCCUGAUCCAGCAAUGCCGCGUGUGUGAAGAAGGCCUUCGGGUUGUAAAGCACUUUUGUCCGGAAAGAAAUCCUUGGCUCUAAUACAGUCGGGGGAUGACGGUACCGGAAGAAUAAGCACCGGCUAACUACGUGCCAGCAGCCGCGGUAAUACGUAGGGUGCAAGCGUUAAUCGGAAUUACUGGGCGUAAAGCGUGCGCAGGCGGUUUGCUAAGACCGAUGUGAAAUCCCCGGGCUCAACCUGGGAACUGCAUUGGUGACUGGCAGGCUAGAGUAUGGCAGAGGGGGGUAGAAUUCCACGUGUAGCAGUGAAAUGCGUGAGAUGUGGAGGAAUACCGAUGGCGAAGGCAGCCCCCUGGGCCAAUACUGACGCUCAUGCACGAAAGCGUGGGGAGCAAACAGGAUUAGAUACCCUGGUAGUCCACGCCCUAAACGAUGUCAACUAGUUGUUGGGGAUUCAUUUCCUUAGUAACGUAGCUAACGCGUGAAGUUGACCGCCUGGGGAGUACGGUCGCAAGAUUAAAACUUAAAUGAAUUGACGGGGU